rnacentral:rRNA from 1 species
UAAUUCCUACGGGGCGCAGCAGUGGGGGAUAUUGCGCAAUGGAGGGAACUCUGAUGCAGCGACGCCGCGUGAGGGAAGAAGGUUUUCGGAUUGUAAACCUCUGUCUUCGGUGACGAAACGAGACGGUAGCCGAGGAGGAAGCCACGGCUAACUACGUGCCAGCAGCCGCGGUAAUACGUAGGUGGCAAGCGUUGUCUGGAAUUACUGGGUGUAAAGGGAGCGUAGGCGGGAAAGCAAGUUGAAUGUUUAAGGUACGGGCUCAACCUGUACAAGCGUUCAAAACUGUUUUUCUUGAUUGGCGUAGA